rnacentral:tRNA from 2 species
GCUUAAGUAGCUCAGUGGUAGAGCGUUAGACUGAAAAUCUAAAGGUCGUUGGUUCAAUUCCAAUCUUGAGCA